GCGGCAGCCUAGAGCGGCCCCGGAGAGCGAAAACGGAACUGCAGGUGACUUCGGAGCCCAGCCGCCUCUGAAGGGAGGGCGGCCCCCGUGAGGACUGGUGCAGGCUUUUCACGAGAUAUCGGUUUUGUUUUCACGGCGCAGAGAGCCCUUUUGCUAUACAGGGUUUAUUCCUUGCCUAGGGAACUGGAGUUUCCGGGUUUGCCCUACAAUAUACACACUUUGUACUGUGCAUUUCAUAUAUGAACGGUGCUCAGUGUUUGUGGAUGGAUGAAUCCUCAGGUUCCAAACCUAGAGAAUGGAGAAAGUAUGUAUCCGGACAAAAGCAGGGUGGUUUGGUGAUUGGGUGAUUUGAAGUCCUGGUCCACCAUUUAUGACAGUAUAUGUAAACGUGCCCAGCAAAAUAUUUUACAUAGAGCAGAAUUUCAUAUCCAUGAAGGCUGGGACUACUUUCUGCACUGCUGUAUCAUCAACAUCCCAACAUCUAAAAUACUUCUGGGCACAUACUAGGUUCUCAAUAAAUAUUUGCUGAAUGAAUGAAUGAGCCAAUGAGGAAGAUAAGCUGCUAGAUUGAGAAAAAAACAAUGGCUGGGAUAUGGAAAUCAAGGAAGAAGUAUUUUAAGGAGGAAAGUGCUCAGUAGAUGCGCCAUGGAAAUGGCCACUGAAUCUGGCUGGAAACGGUACGACUGAUGUAAGCACAAAGCAGGUCACAGGGUUAUCAAGCAGUGCUGUAGAGCUGCACUGGUCAGUGUGGCAGCUACUAGCUGCAUGUGACUAUUAAGCACCUGAAAUGCUUGCUUAAAGGACUGGCUUAAAUAUAACAAAGUUCAACUGGGUAAUAUUGUAGCCAAGUAUGGCUGGGUAGCCCAGUUGGUUAGAGCAUGGUCCCAAUGCACCAAGCUUUCAGUUCGAUCCCCAGUCAGGUAUAUGCAAGAAUCAAGCAAUGAAUGCAUGAAUGUUUCUCUCUCUCUCUAAAAUCAAUUAAAAAAUAAAUUGUUUUAAUUAUUAAAAGCUGGGAAGUUGGUGGCAUGUUUGAAAAGAGCAAAAAAGGAGAGCAUUUGAAAUGGCAUUACAUAAAAACAUGUCUGUAAUAGGUAAGAGGCAAAGACAAUUAGAACAUAGGCAACAAAAGUUGCCUUUAAAGAGGAAGAAUACUAUAGAAUAAAUUAUUGGAUGUUUGAGAUAGAGAGAAAAGCCAGUCUUUCCUCGUGAGUGCCGAGAAGUUAGGCCAUAUAGUUUGGAGAAAUUGAAACAGCAUCUGAGGUUCUGCUAAGUUCCAAAUUCUAAAAAAUUUGGAAAAUUAAAAUCAAUAAGUUCAAACUG